CCCUUAGAUGUCCUGGGCCGCACGCGCGCUACACUGAGUGUCUGAGAUACGAGUCUGCCUGGUCCGGCAAGGUCUAGGUAAUCGCUAAAAGACACAUCAUGCUUGGGAUAGAUUAUUGCAAAUAUUAAUCUUGAACGAGGAAUUCCUAGUAAGCGCAAGUCAACAGCUUGCGUUGAUUACGUCCCUGCCCUUUGUACACACCGCCCGUCGCUACUACUGAUUGGAUGUUUAAGCGAGGUUCUUGAACUGCUAGCGACUUAGCUUCGGUGAGGUCGCAGUGUGGGAAGUGAACCUAGCUUUGGUGUCUAGAGGAAGUAAAAGUCGUAACA
rnacentral:rRNA from 1 species